CAGGCCUAACACAUGCAAGUCGAACGCUGAAGCUUGGUGCUUGCACUGGGUGGAUGAGUGGCGAACGGGUGAGUAUCACGUGAAUAACCUGCCCCUGACUUCGGGAUAAGCCUGGGAAGCUGGGUCUAAUACCGGAUAUGACCAUCUUUCGCAUGUUGGGUGGUGGAAAGUUUUUUCGGUUGGGGAUGGGCUCGCGGCCUAUCAGUUUGUUGGUGGGGUAAUGGCCUACCAAGACGACGACGGGUAGCCGGCCUGAGAGGGCGACCGGCCACACUGGGACUGAGACACGGCCCAGACUCCUACGGGAGGCAGCAGUGGGGAAUAUUGCACAAUGGGGGAAACCCUGAUGCAGCGACGCCGCGUGGGGGAUGACGGCCUUCGGGUUGUAAACCUCUUUCAGUAGGGAAGAAGCCUUUGGGUGACGGUACCUGCAGAAGAAGUACCGGCUAACUACGUGCCAGCAGCCGCGGUAAUACGUAGGGUACAAGCGUUGUCCGGAAUUAUUGGGCGUAAAGAGCUCGUAGGUGGUUUGUCGCGUCUGCUGUGGAAUCGUGCCGCUUAACGGUGCGCGUGCAGUGGGUACGGGCAGACUGGAGUGCAGUAGGGGAGUCUGGAAUUCCUGGUGUAGCGGUGAAAUGCGCAGAUAUCAGGAGGAACACCGGUGGCGAAGGCGGGACUCUGGGCUGUUACUGACGCUGAGGAGCGAAAGCAUGGGGAGCGAACAGGAUUAGAUACCCUGGUAGUCCAUGC
rnacentral:rRNA from 1 species